rnacentral:lncRNA from 1 species
UCUACUGUCGCACACAAAGAAAUUUUAAAAAUUAUUUCAAAUAUUGUGGUUCUAUUGUCGAUGGAGUUCUUCUGUCUUUUGACUUUUGAGUUGUACGGUCGCCAUACCAAAGUAAAUUGCGUUAUGGACUUGGGGUGUCAGAGGUGUCCAAUAGAUGGCGUUUCAUGUGAUGGCGGAUUGUUGUAUCAGUGUUUGUCAAAAGUUUUCCUGUUUUUCCAUGAAAAUUACCGAUGAAUUCAUCAGUAAAUUCAAGUUCUUUUCUGUGCAACUUGUUUGCGAUGUUAUUUAUUCUUAUGUGUGCUGGAUCAAAUUAAAAAUUCCUCAAUCUUACCUGCAGGAAGGAACGGGAAAGGACAGUAGCAUACAAGCAGCCUAACAUCACUACCACCAUCUCUUUUAUUAAAAAUCUUCGUUCUGCUGAAUGCAUCAUGCAGUCAAAACAGGCCAUGGGUAAUCUUCAGGUCUUUGCAGCAGCUUAAGAGAAGAAUAUGAACAAAUGCAGGGCAACUUACCAACAUGUGUUGUAUUUUUCUGAAUGUUAAACACGAGCAGUAGAUUCAACAUGACUAACUGUUGGAUGCCAAAGUUAGUUGGAACUCAACUCACUGUACAUACUCUAACACAGAUAACUCUGGUGAUGUUGCCUUACAGCCACAUGCAGGAAAAUGAUUGUUUUCUUCAGAAAAUUGUAAGUUUAAUUUUUUUCUUGACCACCAACACUUUCUGUUAAUAUUAUAGAUUUUUAUGUUGAAAGAGUUACAAAGUCUGAAAAGCUAACUUCAUUCUUCAUGGUUUAACUUCAUGGUGUUCAUGCUCAUUUGAUUCAUUUCGUGCCAGCUAGUGAAAGCCGAAAGGCAUGUCGAAUGUCGAAUUCAAUCCAGCCGUUGCGUUCAGUCAUUUGGAACAGGAGUCUAAUGGCUGUGAAUAAGUGGCUGAAAUGAUGUCCACCAGGUGGCGCGAAUCUCUUCGGGGACGCUAAGCGGCCAUUUUGAUCCAAGACGCAGCAGAGAUGGGUUGUUGGUUGUGACGUUUCUCACGAUGAAAAUUAAAAGGUGAUUUAGCACGUAAAAACCAAGUUGCCAAAUCAUUCAAAUCAGACUUGGAAGUGCCUGUACAUUUCCGAAAUGGCGUGCCUCGUGUGUCUCGGUGCCUGUUCUUAGACGUACCGUCUCAUCCCAUGUAACAGCAAUAAAUAUAACAAACACUUCUUUAACGCUGGUGGUGGUUACCUUGUUGCAGCCAAAUGGUGAAAGGUGUGACGAAGACAGAUUGAACCAUUGUAUGGAGCAUGCGGUUGCAGUUCAAUCCAGAAGUUGCUGUGCUGUUGCAGCUGAGCUGUUCCAU